UACGUAGGGUGCAAGCGUUGUCCGGAAUCAUUGGGCGUAAAGAGCGUGUAGGCGGCCCGGUAAGUCCGCUGUGAAAGUCGGGGGCUCAACCCUCGAAUGCCGGUGGAUACUGUCGGGCUAGAGUGCGGAAGAGGCGAGUGGAAUUCCUGGGUGUAGCGGUGAAAUGCGCAGAUAUCAGGAGGAACACCGAUUGCGAAGGCAGCUCGCUGGGACGUAACUGACGCUGGAGACGCGAAAGCGUGGGGAGCAAACAGG
rnacentral:rRNA from 1 species